CCUCCGCGGCCCCAAGGCCAAGACCAACUUCCCCCUCGGUCCUGGCUCCCCUCUCCCCCCCUGGGCAUCCUUUCCCCUCCUCCGCCGCCGCCGGAUUUCCCUUCCACCGCCGCCGCCACCAUGAUCCAGCCACGCCUCCCGAUCUCCCGCUGCCGCAGCGGCCGACUUCCAGCAGCCUGAGCAGCACCGUGGAGUCCUUCAGUGGGCCCCGGCUGUCGGCGCCGCCGGUCCCCCUCCGGUUCUCCUCCCACCUCCGACGGUCUGCCAACCCUCCGCCGCCACCCCGCGUCCUCUCCGGCGACCAGGACUGCCACAGCGACUGCGGCUCCUCCUCCUCCGUCGUCGACGACGGCGACAUCGCCUCCGUCU
rnacentral:lncRNA from 1 species